rnacentral:tRNA from 1 species
AGCUAAUUAAGUGUUAUAACUUAUCGCACAUUGACUUUUCACGUCAAAAGAGCAUUCAUCAUGCAUUUAGUU